UCCUUCGUGGUCCAGUGGCUAGGAUUUCUCGCUCUCACCGAGACGGCCCGGGGUUCGAUUCCCGGCGAGGGAG